AUUGAACGCUGGCGGCAUGCUUUACACAUGCAAGUCGAACGGCAGCGCGGGCUUCGGCCUGGCGGCGAGUGGCGAACGGGUGAGUAAUACAUCGGAACGUGCCCAGUAGUGGGGGAUAGCUCGGCGAAAGCCGGAUUAAUACCGCAUACGACCUGAGGGUGAAAGCGGGGGAUCUUCGGACCUCGCGCUAUUGGAGCGGCCGAUGGCAGAUUAGCUAGUUGGUGGGGUAAAGGCCUACCAAGGCGACGAUCUGUAGCUGGUCUGAGAGGACGACCAGCCAGGAGGGAGUGGAGAAACGGACGAGGGUACGCCGGGAGGCAGCAGUGGGGCGUGUUGGAAGAGGGCCGAGGGCUUGAAAGAGACUUGGCGAGGGAGUGAAGAGGGCAUUCGAAAGGCAAAGGUCUGUUAGAAGGGAAGAAACAAAGAGCACGGAAAAAGGCCGGGCGUGAAGGGGCAGAAAGAGACAGAAAAGGACAAGUAGGCG
rnacentral:rRNA from 1 species